UCAGACGAUGCGUCAUGCAUAUCAAUAAGCGGAGGAAAAGAAACUAACAAGGAUUCCCUUAGUAACGGCGAGUGAAGCGGGAAGAGCUCAAAUUUGAAAUCUUCAAGGUUUUACCUUGACGAAUUGUAGUUUAAAGAAGUGUUUUCUGUUGAAGUUUUGGUAAAAGUUCUUUGGAAUAGGACAUCAUAGAGGGUGAGAAUCCCGUAUUUGACCAUAUUUUCAGCUGUGUGAUACACUUUCAAAGAGUCGGAUUGUUUGGGAAUGCAGUCCAAAAUGGGUGGUAAAUUUCAUCUAAAGCUAAAUAUUGGCGAGAGACCGAUAGCGAACAAGUACCGUGAGGGAAAGAUGAAAAGAACUUUGAAAAGAGAGUUAAACAGUACGUGAAAUUGUCAAAAGGGAAGCGUUUGACACCAGUGUUGUUUUCUCGAAAAUCAAUUAAAAAGAGUUAGAUUUUGUUGUGUAUUGACCUUAACAGCUUGCAUUUCAAUUUUCUUGCUUUUUUUAAUGCACUUUUCGUUUAACAAGUCAACAUCAGUUUCUUUUGUUGUAAAAAGGUCAUUGGAAGGUGGCUUUCUUUUCGGAGAAAGUGUUUAUAGCCUUUGACUCCUGCAAUCGGAGAGACUGAGGUCUGCAGCGUAGAUCCUUCGGGGUUAGAUACAUUUGUGCUAAGUUAUAGCUUUUUAUAGACAACUUGUUGACUAUAAUUAGUCUUGUAGCUUACUCGCUUAUGCUAUUUUACCUACGCUUAGGAUGUUGAGCUGAUAUGUAGUCGU
rnacentral:rRNA from 1 species